AGUUAAUAGCUGCAAUCACUUGGACGUUUAGCGACAGAAAGAAGCACCCGGCUAAAUUCCAUGCCCAGCAAGCCGCGGGUAAUACCGGAGGGGUGCGAGCGGUUAAUCGGGAAUUUACUGGGGCGUAAAGCGCAUGCAGGUGGUUUGUUUAAGUCAGAUGUGAAAGCCCGGGGCUCAACCUCGGAAUAGCAUUUGAAACUGGCAGACUAGAGUACUGUAGAGGGGGGUAGAAUUUCAGGUGUAGCGGUGAAAAUGCGUAGAGAUCUGAAGGAAUACCGGUGGCGAAGGCGGCCCCCUGGACAGAUACUGACACUCAGAUGCGAAAGCGUGGGGAGCAAACAGGAUUAGAUACCCUGGUAGUCCACGCCGUAAACGAUGUCUACUUGGAGGUUGUGGCCUUGAGCCGUGGCUUUCGGAGCUAACGCGUUAAGUAGACCGCCUGGGGAGUACGGUCGCAAGAUUAAAACUCAAAUGAAUUGACGGGGGCCCGCACAAGCGGUGGAGCAUGUGGUUUAAUUCGAUGCAACGCGAAGAACCUUACCUACUCUUGACAUCCAGAGAACUUUCCAGAGAUGGAUUGGUGCCUUCGGGAACUCUGAGACAGGUGCUGCAUGGCUGUCGUCAGCUCGUGUUGUGAAAUGUUGGGUUAAGUCCCGCAACGAGCGCAACCCUUAUCCUUGUUUGCCAGCGAGUAAUGUCGGGAACUCCAGGGAGACUGCCGGUGAUAAACCGGAGGAAGGUGGGGACGACGUCAAGUCAUCAUGGCCCUUACGAGUAGGGCUACACACGUGCUACAAUGGCGCAUACAGAGGGCGGCCAACUUGCGAAAGUGAGCGAAUCCCAAAAAGUGCGUCGUAGUCCGGAUUGGAGUCUGCAAUUUGACUCCAUGAAGUCGGAAUCGCUAGUAAUCGUGGAUCAGAAUGCCACGGUGAAUACGUUCCCGGGCCUUGUACACACCGCCCGUCACACCAUGGGAGUGGGCUGCAAAAGAAGUAGGUAG
rnacentral:rRNA from 1 species